GGGGCUGAUUCUGGAUUCGACGGGAUUUGCGAAACCCAAGGUGCAUGCCGGGGGGCGGUUGGCCUCGUAAAAAGCCGCAAAAAAUAGUCGCAAACGACGAAAACUACGCUUUAGCAGCUUAAUAACCUGCUUAGAGCCCUCUCUCCCUAGCCUCCGCUCUUAGGACGGGGAUCAAGAGAGGUCAAACCCAAAAGAGAUCGCGUGGAAGCCCUGCCUGGGGUUGAAGCGUUAAAACUUAAUCAGGCUAGUUUGUUAGUGGCGUGUCCGUCCGCAGCUGGCAAGCGAAUGUAAAGACUGACUAAGCAUGUAGUACCGAGGAUGUAGGAAUUUCGGACGCGGGUUCAACUCCCGCCAGCUCCACCA
rnacentral:tmRNA from 1 species